AUUGAACGCUGGCGGUAGGCCUAACACAUGCAAGUCGAGCGGCAGAACAGAGCUUGCUCCUGGAUACAGCGGCCGACGGGUGAGUGAUGCAUAGGUACCUCCCAAGUAGCGGUGUAUAACGUGCGGACACAGGCACUCUUACCCCAUUCGUCCAGAGGGCGUAAGUGGGAGAUCAUCGGAUCUCCCGCUAUCGGGUGAGCCUAUGUCGGAUUAGCUAGUUGGUGGGGUAAAGGCCUACCAAGGCGACGAUCCGUAACUGGUCUGAGAGGAUGAUCAGCCACACUGGAACUGAGACACGGUCCAGACUCCUACGGGAGGCAGCAGUGGGGAAUAUUGGACAAUGGGCGAAAGCCUGAUCCAGCCAUGCCGCGUGUGUGAAGAAGGUCUUCGGAUUGUAAAGCCCUUUUAGUGGGGAAGAAGGGCAGUAAGUUAAUACCUCGCUGUUCUGACGGUACCAAAAGAAUAAGCUCCGGCUAACUUCGUG
rnacentral:rRNA from 1 species